UACGUAGGGGGCAAGCGUUGUCCGGAUUUAUUGGGCGUAAAGAGCGUGUAGGCGGUUUGGUAGGUCCGUUGUGAAAACCCGAGGCUCAACCUCGGGCCUGCAGUGGGUACGGGCAGACUAGAGUGCGGUAGGGGAGAUUGGAAUUCCUGGUGUAGCGGUGGAAUGCGCAGAUAUCAGGAGGAACACCAAUGGCGAAGGCAGAUCUCUGGGCCGUAACUGACGCUGAGGAGCGAAAGCAUGGGGAGCGAACAGG
rnacentral:rRNA from 1 species